AGAAACCAUGUCUGACAUGGAGUGGUGCUGUGUUUUAUGUGCGUUCCUUGACAGUGGUGGCCAGGGUGAUGCUGUAAUCUGAUGGGAAUGUAUACAUCUCAAAACAGGAACAUGAUGGAGUUCUAAUUAUUCUGCAGUUGGAAGAGCUGAUAAAUGAAACUGCCCAUUUCCAAAAUAUGCAGAGUAUCUAAUGUGCAUCUGAUCCUGAAUUUCAAAUCAAUGGAGUUUAAUAUUUCACUGGUGAUCAUAAAUUUGAAAAUCAAUGUUGUCAAGGUUGACAAUACUCUCCUACUGAAGAGACAGCUACAGCCCAAUGAGAUUGAAAGCAAACAUUCAAAGAUGAACUAACAGAAGCUGUUUCAAAAGUUUUGUUCAUUGGUUUAAAGAAAUUAAUGUUAUUUUACAUAGUGACUUUAGAAAUUUACAUCUUAGGUUUUCAAGCCAGCAGAGCGAAGUACAGCCAUCACAAAACACAACCUAAAACACGAUUUCAGUAACUUGUGGUACGUAGGCUUCUUUGAAAAGGAGCUGUUAAGAUCCACAUCAACACUUACUGGAGGAAAAAACUUCUUGCUAUAGAUGUUCAAAACAGUGUACCGACAGGCAUCCAUCAAGAAGAUGUGAAACUUCACUGUGAAAAAUCGUUUUUUUUAUACCACAAGGUAUGUCUUUGCUGUGAUGGACUUAAGUCCACAGCCUUCCGUUCCCUAAUGUGCUCCUUUCAUGCAUACUGUCAACAACAAGAAGAUGGUUUAUUUGAUCAGAAGGAGCACUGAUGUGGUGUCAUGGGCUGAUCCCAAACUAAUCCAAAACAAAGCGUUCUUGUAUUUUCUUGACUUCUAACAUCUUCACAACUUUGUGAAGAAAGGAAAAGAUUUGUCCCUGAGUACAAGUCAGUUUAUAGCAUGGAAUGGAAGGAGUCUUUUUCUGUGUUUUGAUCAAAAGAAGAGAUCAUAGGAGAUCUAUCACGGUAUCGAAGAAGACUACUGCAGAACUGCAGAAAUCAGAAAGCAAAGAAUCAUUUUACAGCUACUUAGAUACAUUCCUGAACAACACACUCUGGAUUGCUGCAAGUCUUUAGAGAGGUGAAAACUUGUAUCCAUGGCAAUCAUACCUUCAGAUCCUGAAUUCUUCAUUCCAGAGAGCACAUAAGAGCUUGAAGAUUAAUCCAUUCUUGCUUUCAAAGUGACUGAACAUAUGGUAACCCAGAAGCUGUGAGAAAUCAUUGUUUGGAUACCUGGGCUGCUCCAAUAGUAAUGCCUCCUAUUUUAUUAUGUUGAUCCAUGACAGAAGAGGUUGAACCUUCCCAAAAAUAUUUCAUUACAUUUUGUUGUCAUAUGACAGAUGGCAACAGAGGGGCAGUCUGAGAGAAUGGCUUCUGACAUGAAAGUGCAUAUGAAGCAAAAGUGUGUCACUGAAUUCUUCCACACAGAAAAAAAUGACAUUCUGACAUUCAUCUACACUUGCUGAACUUUGAUGGAGAUCAAACAGUGGAUAUGACCACAGUGAGGGCUGGGUGGUGCACUUCAGUAGCAGUGGUGACAGCAACAGCUCACCUCCACUGGUGCAGAUUUUUACGAGCAUGGCAUGCAGCUUCUUGUCCAUUUCUAGUGAAAAUGCAUAGAUAAUGGUAGUGUCUAUGCAGGAAAACAGUGUUUUGUAGUUAAGAAUUUGCUCCAUCAAAUAAUGUUAUUGUGCUCUUUGUAUCUUUUGUAGUUUCCAGAGAAGUCAAUUGGAGGCAUUACUUUCCAACUGAUCUAACUAUUUCUUCAAUAAAUAUUCUAGCAUCCUUGCA
ensembl:lncRNA